GAGAAGAGUCAUGAGACACAGAAAUUGCUAACUAUCUGCUACUGUGGUUAAAAUCCACAGGCUACUU
rnacentral:tRNA from 1 species